rnacentral:rRNA from 1 species
AUGGCGAUGCGGAGGAGGCUGCCGCAGUUCCAGGCCCUCCUCGCGCAGCAAGCCGUCCGCAGCGCCAUCCCCAAACCCAGACCCCUAGCCAACCCCCACAGCCGCCUCCUCCACUGCCCCUCCACGCCAGCAGCCGCCUGCCGCUCGCCGCUGUCCCACUCCCUCUGGCGCAGCCCAGGAAGCGCCGGGACGCUCCUGCCGGUGAGCGCGGCGGCCGUUGCGGCGGCCGCCCGGGCCGCCGCCAAGCGGUGGCUGACCGCGCGCGCCGCCGGGUCGCUUGAGCUCUUCUCGCUGCAGCGGAGGCGGUCCUCGGACUUGCUCUCUUCGUCCUCCACAUUCCUCCGCCGCGUACCCUGGGGGCGCUGGCUACCAUCAGCGGACGGGAUGGUGUUGAUGCUUAUGGGCGCGAAUGUGGCCGUCUACAUGCUCUGGCACAUGGCCAGUCCGGAUUUCAUGAGGGAUCAUUUCUCGAUUUCGCUGGACAAUCUCAAGAGCGGGCGGUUGCACACAUUGCUCACUAAUGCCUUCAGCCACUAUGACUCAGGUCACCUCUUCGGCAAUAUGAUGGGUCUCUACUUCUUCGGUUCAAAUAUUUCGAGCGCGUUUGGCCCUGCUUUUCUGUUGAAGCUGUACAUAGCAGGAGCACUUGUUGGAUCCACAUUCUUCUUGGUAGAUAAGGCUUUUAUAGCUCCAAGGAGACAGAUUUAUGCGGGAUGGGACGUGUUAAGAAGUAACGCGCUUGGUGCAAGUGCUGCAGUUAAUGCCAUUAUGCUUCUUCACAUUUUUCUCAAACCAAAGGGACUAAUCUACCUUUACAUGGUCAUUCCUGUUCCAGCUGCCUUAGUGGGGGUUGCUUGGAUUGGUCUUGAUUUGUGGAGGGUGAACAAGGGUCAGAGUCAGACAUCAGGUGCUUCUCAUUUAGGGGGUACCCUAGUGGCUGCUCUUAUGUGGGCUCGAAUUAGGAAGGGCUGGAUCUGA